rnacentral:rRNA from 1 species
UUAAGCAGGAUGUGAANUCCCCGGGCUCAACCUGGGAACUGCGUUNUGAACUGGGUAGCUAGAGUAUGUCAGAGGGGGGUAGAAUUCCACGUGUAGCAGUGAAAUGCGUAGAGAUGUGGAGGAAUACCGAUGGCGAAGGCAGCCCCCUGGGAUAAUACUGACGUUCAUGCUCGAAAGCGUGGGUAGCAAACAGGAUUAGAUACCCUGGUAGUCCACGCCCUAAACGAUGUCGAUUAGCUGUUGGGCAACUUGAUUGCUUAGUAGCGUAGCUAACGCGUGAAAUCGACCGCCUGGGGAGUACGGUCGCAAGAUUAAAACUCAAAGGAAUUGACGGGGACCCGCACAAGCGGUGGAUGAUGUGGAUUAAUUCGAUGCAACGCGAAGAACCUUACCUGGUCUUGACAUGUACGGAAGAACUCAGAGACGAGUUUGUGCCUUCGGGAGCCGUAACACAGGUGCUGCAUGGCUGUCGUCAGCUCGUGUCGUGAGAUGUUGGGUUAAGUCCCGCAACGAGCGCAACCCUUGUCAUUAGUUGCCAUCAUUUAGUUGGGCACUCUAAUGAGACUGCCGGUGACAAACCGGAGGAAGGUGGGGAUGACGUCAAGUCCUCAUGGCCCUUAUGACCAGGGCUUCACACGUCAUACAAUGGUCGGUACAGAGGGUAGCCAAACCGCGAGGUGGAGCCAAUCCCAGAAAACCGAUCGUAGUCCGGAUUGCACUCUGCAACUCGAGUGCAUGAAGUCGGAAUCGCUAGUAAUCGCAGGUCAGCAUACUGCGGUGAAUACGUUCCCGGGUCUUGUACACACCGCCCGUCACACCAUGGGAGUGGGGGAUACCAGAAGUAGGUAGGGUAACCGCAAGGAGCCCGCUUACCACGGUA